rnacentral:rRNA from 1 species
GCAAGUCGAACGGUAACAGGAAUUAGCUUGCUAAUUUGCUGACGAGUGGCGCAACGGGUGCGUAACGCGUAUACAAUCUGCCUUUAAGCGGGGAAUAGCCCAUGGAAACGUGGAUUAAUACCCCAUAGUAUGUAGACUUCACCUGGAGACUACAUUAAACAUUUAUGGCUUAAAGAUGAGUAUGCGUCCUAUUAGUUAGUUGGUAAGGUAACGGCUCACCAAGACCGCGAUAGGUAGGGGUCCUGAGAGGGAGAUCCCCCACACUGGUACUGAGACACGGACCAGACUCCUACGGGAGGCAGCAGUGAGGAAUAUUGGACAAUGGAGGCAACUCUG